UGAAUAGGAAACCCUCAGAGCUGGCGUUAUGACCACCCCACAGAUGUGUUAAUGACCUCAUCUUUGAAGAAAUAAUAUUCUCCAGUUUUUGCUUCUGUUUCAGAUCUACUACCUUCCCUUUCUGGGAACGGAAGUACUGAGGUAGAGAGGAUGCAGCGAAGACCCUCUCUAUGUAUUGGUGGCCGUGGAUCAUCUUAAGCUGAGCCCCGAGCCUCUGGAUGCCCCUCAAACUUCUGCAUCAGAAAGAAGUCCAAAUGAGGUUCCUCCACAAGGUCAAAAGAAGAGGCCUCAACUCAACAAGAAAAGGAAGCUCUGAUCAAGCCAAGGCUGCUUUGCCAACAACCACAGGCGAAGUUAUUUGGGACCCAGAGCACCCAUGAGGACAGUGAAUUCUGAAGCCAUUGAUGGAGACAGAGUCUUGGAUCUAAUGACCAAUGCUGCUUCUAACAGUGAACCAGGAUCCAUCCUGUAUUAAGUGAAACUACAAUUAGACAUCUCAAUAUCAUCAUUUUACCCAAGUAAUAUAAACUCCUU